AUCUAGGGCCAUACUCCCCUGAACACGCUUAAUCUCAUCUGAUCUCAGAAGCUAAGUGGGGUUGGGUGAGGGAAGACAAUACUUUUCUUCCAGUUUACGUGUGAUAUUUUUCCAAAUGCUGCUUAAGUUGUAGGAC
rnacentral:rRNA from 1 species